UUUUAUGGAGAGUUUGAUCCUGGCUCAGGACGAACGCUGGCGGCGUGCCUAAUACAUGCAAGUCGAGCGAGAU
rnacentral:rRNA from 1 species